rnacentral:rRNA from 1 species
UACGUAGGGGGCAAGCGUUGUCCGGAUUUACUGGGCGUAAAGAGCGUGUAGGCGGCCACGCAGGUCCGUUGUGAAAACUGGAGGCUCAACCUCCAGCUGUCGACGGAAACCGUGUGGCUAGAGUCCGGAAGAGGAGAGUGGAAUUCCUGGUGUAGCGGUGAAAUGCGUAGAUAUCUGGAGGAACACCGGUGGCGAAGGCGGCAUCCGUGGACCGACAUUGACGCUGAGGCGCGAAAGCCAGGGGAGCAAAGCGGGGAU